AGCGAACGCUGGCGGCAGGCCUAACACAUGCAAGUCGAACGAACCUUUCGGGGUUAGUGGCGGACGGGUGAGUAACACGUGGGAACGUGCCUUUAGGUUCGGAAUAACUCAGGGAAACUUGUGCUAAUACCGAAUGUGCCCUUCGGGGGAAAGAUUUAUCGCCUUUAGAGCGGCCCGCGUCUGAUUAGCUAGUUGGUUGAGGUAAUGGCUCACCAAGGCGACGAUCAGUAGCUGGUCUGAGAGGAUGAUCAGCCACAUUGGGACUGAGACACGGCCCAAACUCCUACGGGAGGCAGCAGUGGGGAAUCUUGCGCAAUGAGCGAAAGCCUGACGCAGCCAUGCCGCGUGAAUGAAGAAGGUCUUAGGAUUGUAAAAUUCUUUCACCGGGGAAGAUAAUGACGGUACCCGGAGAAGAAGCCCCGGCUAACUUCGUG
rnacentral:rRNA from 1 species